UACGAAGGGGGGCUAGCGUUGUUCGGAAUCACUGGGCGUAAAGCGCACGCAGGCGGUCCGUUAAGUUUGGAGUGACAGUUGGUGGCUCAACCACCAAAGUGCUUUGAAAACUGGCAGACUUGAGGGCUUCAGAGGGACACGGAAUCCGGGUGGAGUGGUGAAAUGCGUAGAGAUCCGGAGGAACACCGAAGGCGAAGGCAGUGUCCUGGGGAGUACCUGACGCUCAGGUGCGAAAGCCAGGGGAGCGAACGGG
rnacentral:rRNA from 1 species